rnacentral:rRNA from 1 species
AGCCAGGGGAAGAUAUUCUUGGUUUAACCUGCCCAAUGUGUUAAAUAUGAAUGGCCGCGGUACUCUGACCGUGCUAAGGUAGCGUAAUCAGUUGGCUUUUAAAUGGAGUCGGGUAUGAAUGGGAAAACCGGGCUUAGCUGUCUCACAACUAUUUAUUCGAAUUUACUGUUUAGGUGAAAAAGCCUAAAAUUGGUAAAGGGACGAGAAGACCCUUAGAAUUUUAUUUAAGGUUGGUGUUAUACCUGCUGUGAUUUUGUUGGGGCGACAGAGAAAUAAUUAAAACUUUCUUUAAAUUUAUCAGUCGGAUUUUUCAGGUGAGUAUAAAUUACCUAAGGGAUAACAGCAUAAUUUUACUAAUAAGUUUGUGACCUCGAUGUUGGACUAGGGAGCUGUUGGGUUAGCUGCUCAAUAUGCGGAUUCUGUUCGAAUUUUUACCCCU